UACGGGGGGGGGGCAAGCGUUGUUCGGAAUUAUUGGGCGUAAAGCGCGUGUAGGCGGCUUUGCAAGUCGGGUGUGAAAGCCCUCGGCUUAACCAAGGAAGUGCAUCCGAAACUGCAGUGCUUGAGUACUUAAGAGGAUCGCGGAAUUCCCGGUGUAGAGGUGAAAUUCGUAGAUAUCGGGAGGAACACCAGUGGCGAAGGCGGCGAUCUGGGAAGAUACUGACGCUGAGGAGCGAAAGCGUGGGGAGCGAACAGG
rnacentral:rRNA from 1 species